rnacentral:misc_RNA from 1 species
GAUGAAGAACGUAGCGAAAUGCGAUAAGUAAUGUGAAUUGCAGAAUUCAGUGAAUCAUCGAAUCUUUGAACGCACAUUGCGCCCUCUGGUAUUCCGGAGGGCAUGCCUGUUCGAGCGUCAUUAUAACCACUCAAGCUCUCGCUUGGUAUUGGGGUUCGCGGUUCCGCGGCCCCUAAAAUCAGUGGCGGUGCCUGUCGGCUCUACGCGUAGUAAUACUCCUCGCGAUUGAGUCCGGUAGGUCUACUUGCCAGCAACCCCCAAUUUUUACAGGUUGACCUCGGAUCAGGUAGGGAUACCCGCUGAACUUAAGCAUAUCAAAAGCGGAGGA